CUUUGCAUCUGUCAACCACAGAUAAAUGUUAACAAUCUCCUUCUCUCACCUCACCCACUCACUCACUCACAGAUAGGUUCAGGCAGUUGGAGGUGCUGCAGCAGGUUACCACUGCGUUCUCAUCCCUGGUCGGUGGUGCGUCUACAGACUCCCUCUCCGAGAGCGGAGUUCCAGCUUUAGCUUCGGCCGAGGCCAGGGAGAAGAGGAAGAGGAUGGGCAUGCUGCUCCGCCGGGUCUCCAGAAAAACCCUCAGCCAGACCCAAAUCCAGACACAGGACUCCCAGGACACAAACCCAACUCCCCACAGUCCCGUAGCCCACUUACCGCAGCCCCUGGCCGGCCCCCCUGACAGGCGGACCCAGCUGAAACGAGCCAGACAGGGCCUGGCUGAGUGUGUAUGUCUGACCCCACUGGUAGAGGAGCAAGGCCUAGCCUCGGAAGCACCAGAGCCCCACUCGGUCCCCCAGGAGGGUGCGCUCAGGCUGGAGGUGGGGAAGGAGUAUCAACCCCUGAUCUCCAGUGGUAUUCCAACCAGAAAGAAAAGUCCUGGGGAGGCCAGGGAGUCCUUUGAGAUGGAGGAGAUCCAGAGCUUUGAUGAGGGCAGUAUUUCUGGGAGCUACAUGGGAGCAUCCGACACCACAGCAGUGUGUGUGAUGAGGACUAACAGCUGCCAGUCUGACAGCAGUGGUUUCCUGGAAGAGCCCUUCAUCCCGUCCAUUACCCAGCAUCCCUCACCUGGACCCGAGCUCAUGAAGGCUUUGUCGGGAAUAUCUGGAGGCAGCACUGACAGCCAGAUCACUGUAAAAGGAGCUUCACCCCCCUCGUCCCCUCCAUCCAAUUCCCUGGACCCUUCCCCUCCUUCCCUCUCCACGUGCCACCCAAGACCCGAGUCUCCUCUAUACAGACCAGAGACAACAAGCCCUACAGAGAAGACACCCAGACACCAGGAUUCCCCCACACCCCACUCCCUCCUCUCUGAUGCCUUGGAGAUGACUAACUCUACGUUUGGAGCCAGGCCAAGCCUAAUGGAAAACACUGUCACUGAGGAAGAUGGAUUCUCUUCGGCCUGCUGUGCACCUUGUCAUAAGCCAGACUCUCCGUUACGGCACGUUAUUAUUAUCAUGAAAACAGAUAGAGAAACAGAACACUUUACUCUGGAAUCAGAGGAAGCUGUUCCAAUAGGAGGAGAGGAAAAGGCCAUAGCGGAACAAAGUGGUAAUGUUCAGACAGGAACAGAGGCUGUUGGUGAUCAGGACACCGAUUGUUAUGGGUCACAUGAAGGCUCUCUGAUGGCUCUGGUGCAGAUGAAGAAAGAGAUGGAGAUGAAGAUGGAAGUACAGAUUAGUUCUGGUUUGGAAGGUCCAGUGUUGGGUCCUGUCGCUGUUCCUGAGGUGGUGGAUCAAGGCUCUGAGACUGGAUCUGUUUGUCAGGACCGGUCCUCUGAAGAUCCUCUAUUAGGAUCUGACCCUAACCUCUCAGCAGUGCUAAGCCCUGCCUCACCUCUCCCCCCAGCAGAACCUCUCUCUGCCUCCUCUCUCCCCCCAGCAGAGCCUCGCUCUGCCUCCUCUCCCCCCCCAGUGCACUGGGAAACAUGUGGCUCAGAGAUUUCAGAGGGAUCCUCAAGCUUGGUUGUCCAAGAGCCUGUCUCACCACUAAAUCAACCAACAGACCUACCUCCAGGCCCAGCUUUAACCUCACCUUCAGAGCAAGUGUCACUUCCAGCCUCUUCCCCACCACCAUCUCCGCCCCCAGCAUCAUGCCCACACCAACCUCCAGCCUCAGCUUUUCUGGCAGCAUCCAGCUCAUCUCCAACACAGUCCCAUUCCCCAAUCCCAAACCAUUCUCUUUCAGCCCUAACCACAACACCAAUCCCAUCCUCAAUUCCAAACUCACCAUCAGCCCAUUCCUUAACCGUAGCUCCAUCUCAAGCCCCAACCCCACUCGUCCCCCACAGUGGUGCUUUCAGGUCAGGCCGAUCUGUGUCUGUCCAGAUGCCCUCCUCCCUGCCCUCUGUCUCCCACUCUGCCCUCCGGAGAGCUGCUGUCCCCCACACCCCCUCCCCGCUCGGCCCUUCCUUCGAGCCCCUCCCCCUGACUGACCAGACGCUCCGGCAGAGGCGGAACUCCUUCUCCAGGAAGGCGUGGUCAGAUGCUGAUGUCUCCCACUUUGCAGAACACAGAAACACUGCGGUUGCCAUGGGAAAGGCAGACAUGACACCUGAGACGAUAUCCCUCCCGUCCCCCUGCCCCUCCCCCUCCAUGUCAUCGUCCAAUCGGUGGCUGUCUCGCGAUGGUUCACGAAGAUCCGGAAGUUUCCAGAUGAAGUCCACCUCCUUGGACACUGGGCUGUGGCAGGAGGAAGUGGGGGAAGAAGUGGGGGAUGAGGAUAGACGGUGGGAACGAGCCCUGUUCUCUGGGCUUUCCUGCUGCUGCUCCUGUGAUAACCGCUGUCGCUGCUGUUCUCAGAACAAUCGCCACAAACCGUCCUCCGUUUCAGCUUUCCCUGUAAGUAACACACACAAUUCAGUUACGCGCUCUUGUCAAACCCUAAAUUGA
rnacentral:lncRNA from 1 species